ACAGUAGAUCACGCUUAAUCGCCGCAACAGUUGCAGCGACAAGACAUCGCCCGAUUGUCCUUUUUCCGAGACGGAUCGACCCGGCAGUGCAGGUAAAUCGGAAAUAGGUCAGGCCGGCCCCGCGGCCCGACCGAAGUAACAGGGGAUAAGGAUGAGGUUGGUUGUCUUCGGCCUGCCUCAUCACGAAAACCAAGUGAAGACUAAGCAUGUAGAAAGCUCAUUGAUUCCACGUUUGGACGAGGGUUCAAGUCCCUCCAGCUCCACUU
rnacentral:tmRNA from 1 species